GCCAGUAGUGAUAUGCUUGUCUCAAAGAUUAAGCCAUGCAAGUCUAAGUACGAGCUCUCGUACAGCGAAACUGCGAAUGGCUCAUUAAAUCAGUUAUGGUUCAUUUGAUCGUAUGGUUUACUUGGAUAACUGUGGUAAUUCUAGAGCUAAUACAUGCAAACAGCGCCGACUUCGCGGGAGGCGUGCUUUUAUCAGACCAAAAACCGACCGCGGCUCCGGCCGCGUUCGACUGGUGACUCUGGAUAACCUGGCGGAUCGCACGGUCUAGCACCGGCGACGGAUCAUUCAAGUGUCUGCCCUAUCAACUUUCGUCGGUACGGUAUUCGCCUACCGAGGUUCUUACGGGUAACGGGGAAUCAGGGUUCGAUUCCGGAGAGGGAGCCUGAGAAACGGCUACCACAUCCAAGGAAGGCAGCAGGCGCGCAAAUUACCCAUUCCCGACGCGGGGAGGUAGUGACGAAAAAUAACAAUGCAGGACUCAUUCGAGGCCCUGUAAUUGGAAUGAGUACACUUUAAAAGCUUUAACGAGUAUCCAUUGGAGGGCAAGUCUGGUGCCAGCAGCCGCGGUAAUUCCAGCUCCAAAAGUAUAUAUUUAAGUUGUUGCGGUUGAAAAGCUCGUAGUUGGAUUUUGGGCGCGGGCGGUCGGUCCGUCGCGAGGCGUGUACUGGUCGACCCGGCCUUACGUCCGGUUCUCCGGCGGUGCUCUUGACUGAGUGUCGGCGGCGGCCGGAAAGUUUACUUUGAAAAAAUUAGAGUGUUCAAAGCAGGCUCUCGAGCCUGAAUAAUGGUGCAUGGAAUAAUGGAAUAGGACCUCGGUUCUAUUUUGUUGGUUUUCGGAGCAAAUUUUAAAGGAGUUUUAAAACGUUAUGGCAUCUGCACCGAAUAUGGAUAAUACUGGAGCUGAAAAGAUGCAGCCACCGCCUUAUUCUGGUCCCUACCCGGGAGCAGAAAAUCCGCAAGCAGCGGGGGUUCC
rnacentral:rRNA from 1 species